rnacentral:tmRNA from 1 species
ACCUUUUGAGUAAAAUAUGUUUUAUGGUAGAAUAGUAUUGUCUUUUAUGAAGACUAUGGCGAUAAACGCUGCAUGUAAUAGAUGAUACGGACCCGGGGGCAGAACCCGGCACCUCCACCAAUACGGGGGUGAGUAGCUUCGACGUCCAUUGAAAAGUGCGGUUUUUGCUCGGGAUGGUUCCGUCGUUAUCGGGCUAUAAACAUAAAUGCGAACGAUUAUAUCGUCGCUGUUAAUGAUAAUAACGCUGUAGUUGCAAUUGCAGCUUAAGCCAUAAGUUAUCAUGACGCGGUCUGGGGGCGCCGGGCAACAGAAGCCCCCAUU